rnacentral:rRNA from 1 species
GCCUGUUUUACAAAAACAUGUCUGUGUGAAGUUAUAUAGAGUCUAACCUGCCCAUUGAAAUUUUUUAAGAGGCCGCGGUAUAUUAACUGUGCAAAGGUAGCAUAAUCAUUAGUUUUUUAAUUGAAGGCUUGUAUGAAGGGUUGGACAAAGAAUAAUCUGUUUCUGUUUUUAUUUUUGAAUUUGACUUUUAAGUUAAAAGGCUUAAGUAUAUUUAAGGGACGAUAAGACCCUAUAAAUCUUUAUAUAAAAUUAUCUUUAAUUUAUUUAUAAUGUAAGUUUAAUAUAAAGAUAAGAUAUAUUACAUUGGGGUGAUGAGAAUAUAUAAUAAACUGUUCUAGAUUCAAAACAAAUUUAUUUGUAUUAUAAAAUAGUAGAUCCUUUUUUAAGAUUAAAAGUUUAAGUUACUUUAGGGAUAACAGCGUUAUUUUUUUUGAGAGUUCAUAUCGAAAAAAAAGUUUGCGACCUCGAUGUUGAAUUAAAAUGUCUUUGUGGUGUAGGUGUUACAAAAAGAGAGUCUGUUCGACUUUUAAAUUUUUACAUGAUUUGAGUUCAGACCGGCGUAAGCCAGGUUGUUUUCU